CAUAAAGAGUUUUCUGAACUGUCUUUAUCUUAAUACCCUAUCCCUCAAACUGCAAAGUCAGUUGGAAGUCACUGCUAAAAGGAUAAUGAGCCAAAAUGGGAAAAUAAUUUAUUAUUUUCCCUUGUUAUGUUCUUAGUUUGAAGGGUAAGAGCAGCAAUAACAAAGGAUCAAAAAUGGGAAUUGACUUUAGACUAAAGAACAAAACUUCAGAAAUUCAGGUGAAUUGCAACAUUUUCAGCAGAAAGCAAACAAGAUAAUGAAGAAGAGUACUCUUACUCUGGACCUAUGAGAAAUCUCUGACUACGGAAGAGCUAACUAGUCUUAGGAGGUGGGACCUGACCUCUGGCCCACGAGCCAGGCUGCCUUGCACAACUCAGCACCAACAGGUGCUAGUCUAACACACCUACUCAUCUCAGUGGCUUACCUGGACGGUGACAUGGCAACUGUAGGUUUCCUCAAACACUCCUACGAAAUACCGCCAGGACAACUGUACAAUGUUUGAGACAAACUUACGAGAAAGAGCAGAGGAAUUUAUGAAAAAAAAAGCUUGAAUUAAAAACAAGUAAAAGAUUUGUUUACACCUGUGGCACAAAAAUGAGUUCCGCCAUGGGACAUGAACUCAGAAGCAUGUUUGGAAUAUUAUUUAGGAUAAAUAGCCGCAGUGUGACUAGAGGUUCUGCAGAUUUCCCAGAGCACUAUUGAGAACAGCCACCACAUUUUGGUCAUUUCAAAAGACUGCUGGGGCCUUGAGGAUAACAGAAGGUUUAAGUCAAAAGUCAAUUAUAAAUAUCGCAUUGCUGCCCACUACCAGAGCCGUCCCAGAAUCCCUAUGUGCCUCCUUCUCACCUAUUUACCCAUGGCAAGCACCUAAUUAGCACUUGGUGCUAAUUUCAAUCCAAUGAGAAUGCUACUCCACACAGCAAUGAGGACCUCAACUCUAGAUCCAAAUGACCCUUGGCCUCCAAGGACAUUUCCCCUUCCCCCUGUUCUGCUGUGGGUCUCCUCACGUCCUCACUUCUCAUCCUAGGAUUCAUAUCUCCCCAGAAUGACUGACAGUAGGACUAUCCCUUCCUCUCAGGAGAAAGCUCACGCCCAUCCACAGAAAUGUGACCUUUCACUAUAACCUUGGCAACAAUCAUUCAAAAGUCGGACAUUUGUACAUUUCUCAAAUUCAGCAUUAUCCAGUCUAAGUAACACUAUUACAAUAGUUUAAUCCAAAUAGGGUGUGCCAAGCUCAGAAAAGUUCCCUUCCAGUAUCUCCUUGUUAAUUAAUGAGUCAAGAUCUCUUACAAUGGGGUUACUCUUCCUCCACUAAAAUCUUCAGACUCCUUUACAAAUAUCCUCUUCUUCAACCAGUCCUUUUAAGGAGGGAGGAGCAAUCUUCCAGUAACUUCCCACUGGCUGGAAGGAAUGGUAAUUUCCACACAAAAGACAAAACCCUAUUGUGUGAGUGAUAACUUCUUAUAGCAACUAAACUAAAGCCAUGUAACAAAGCCCUGAUACAGGGUGAACUUUUUGUCCACCUCAUCUCAGAAUCAUCACAUAAUUCUUCACUUUGAUUUCCUCUAGUGUGAAAAAUCUCUUUCCACUGGAUGAGACUACAGUUUCUCCUGUAUGUUCACAUGUCUCCAGGAACUCACUCUAUGCAUCUGUCUGUUCAAAAGGCAUUGCUCAAGAGUGAAGGUUACAGGUGUGAAUGGGCUGACUGCCAGACCUCAUGUGUCAUUGAUCCCAGAGUCAUUCCCUGAUACAUUGCCCCAUCAGUCUUCUUUUUACUCAGAAGUUCAGGAUGACCAUUCCUUAACAUCAGCCUGGAGAAGUGGUGUAUCCCCCAGCUUAGAUGCCUAUUAACUAGCUCUGGAGCAGAGAGGCAGCUUUUGCCACCAGCUCCCCAUAGGCUAGCAAAUUGUUUAACUCAACAGUCAUUUAUUAUUUUAUUUGUUCAUAAUUACAUAUUAAUUAAUGCUAUUUACCUCAAGAUUUGUUCAUCUUGAUUUGUCUUUUCUUUUCAGCCUGCCCAGUUUCCCAAGCCUUUUGUCUCUAGAUGAGG
rnacentral:lncRNA from 10 species